GGUGAGUAACGCGUAUCCAACCUGCCCACCACUUGGGGAUAACCUUGCGAAAGUAAGACUAAUACCCAAUGACGUCUCUAGAAGACAUCUGAAGGAGAUUAAAGAUUUAUCGGUGAUGGAUGGGGAUGCGUCUGAUUAGCUUGUUGGCGGGGUAACGGCCCACCAAGGCGACGAUCAGUAGGGGUUCUGAGAGGAAGGUCCCCCACAUUGGAACUGAGACACGGUCCAAACUCCUACGGGAGGCAGCAGUGAGGAAUAUUGGUCAAUGGACGAGAGUCUGAACCAGCCAAGUAGCGUGCAGGAUGACGGCCCUAUGGGUUGUAAACUGCUUUUAUAAGGGAAUAAAGUGAGUCUCGUGAGACUUUUUGCAUGUACCUUAUGAAUAAGGACCGGCUAAUUCCGUGCCAGCAGCCGCGGUAAUACGGAAGGUCCGGGCGUUAUCCGGAUUUAUUGGGUUUAAAGGGAGCGUAGGCCGGGGAUUAAGCGUGUUGUGAAAUGUAGACGCUCAACGUCUGCACUGCAGCGCGAACUGGUUUCCUUGAGUACGCACAAAGUGGGCGGAAUUCGUGGUGUAGCGGUGAAAUGCUUAGAUAUCACGAAGAACUCCGAUUGCGAAGGCAGCUCACUGGAGCGCAACUGACGCUGAAGCUCGAAAGUGCGGGUAUCGAACAGGAUUAGAUACCCUGGUAGUCCGCACGGUAAACGAUGGAUGCCCGCUGUUGGUCUGAAUAGGUCAGCGGCCAAGCGAAAGCAUUAAGCAUCCCACCUGGGGAGUACGCCGGCAACGGUGAAACUCAAAGGAAUUGACGGGGGCCCGCACAAGCGGAGGAACAUGUGGUU
rnacentral:rRNA from 1 species